UGGGGAAUUUUCCGCAAUGGGCGCAAGCCUGACGGAGCAAUACCGCGUGAGGGAGGAAGGCCUUUGGGUUGUAAACUACUUUUAUAGAGGAAGAAACCCCGGUAUGUAUACUGGUUUGACGGUACUCUACGAAUAAGGAUCGGCUAACUCCGUGCCAGCAGCCGCGGUAAUACGGAGGAUCCGAGCGUUAUCCGGAAUCAUUGGGUUUAAAGGGUCCGUAGGCGGGCUGAUAAGUCAGGGGUGAAAGUUUGCGGCUCAACCGUAAAAUUGCCUUUGAUACUGUUUGUCUUGAAUUAUUGUGAAGUGGUUAGAAUAAGUAGUGUAGCGGUGAAAUGCAUAGAUAUUACUUAGAAUACCGAUUGCGAAGGCAGAUCACUAACAAUUGAUUGACGCUAAGGGACGAAAGCGUGGGUAGCGAACAGGAUUAGAUACCCCUGUAGUCC
rnacentral:rRNA from 1 species